GCCCGGCUAGCUCAAUCGGUAGAGCGUGAGACUCUUAAAGCUUCUCCACAGCUGCAGGCAUCUCAAGGUUGGGGGUUCGACCCCCCCGUCGGGCU